rnacentral:rRNA from 1 species
GACGAACGCUGGCGGCGUGCUUAACACAUGCAAGUCGAGCGGUAAGGCCCUUUCGGGGGUACGACGAGCGGCGAACGGGUGAGUAACACGUGGGUGGACCUGCCCUCAGCUCUGGGAUAAGCCUGGGAAACCGGGUCUAAUACCGGAUAUGACUCCAUGACGCAUGUUGUGGGGUGGAAAGCCUUGUGCGGCUGAGGAUGGGCCCGCGGCCUAUCAGCUUGUUGGUGGGGUGAUGGCCUACCAAGGCGACGACGGGUAGCCGGCCUGAGAGGCGACCGGCCACACUGGGACUGAGACACGGCCCAGACUCCUACGGGAGGCAGCAGUGGGGAAUCUUGCGCAAUGGGCGAAAGCCUGACGCAGCGACGCCGCGUGAGGGAUGAC